CCUACGGGUGGCUGCAGUGAGGGAUAUUGCGCAAUGGGGGAAACCCUGACGCAGCGACGCCGCGUGGGUGAUGAAGGCCUUCGGGUCGUAAAACCCUUUUGCCACUGACGAGGAAGGACGGUAGGUGGCGAAUAAGCCUCGGCUAACUACGUGCCAGCAGCCGCGGUAAAACGUAGGAGGCGAGCGUUAUCCGGAGUUACUGGGCGUAAAGCGCGCGCAGGCGGUCAUUUAAGUCGGGCGUGAAAGCCCCAUGCUAAACGUGGGGAGGACGAACG
rnacentral:rRNA from 1 species